rnacentral:rRNA from 1 species
CCUACGGGUGGCAGCAGUGAGGAAUAUUGGUCAAUGGGCGCGAGCCUGAACCAGCCAAGUAGCGUGAAGGAUGACUGCCCUACGGGUUGUAAACUUCUUUUAUAAAGGAAUAAAGUGCGGCACGUGUGCCUUUUUGUAUGUACUUUAUGAAUAAGGAUCGGCUAACUCCGUGCCAGCAGCCGCGGUAAUACGGAGGGUCCGAGCGUUAUCCGGAUUUAUUGGGUUUAAAGGGAGCGUAGAUGGUUUUUUAAGUUAGUGGUGAAAGUUUGCGGCUCAACCGUAAAAGUGCAAUUGAUACUGGCAGUCGUGAGAACAGAUGAGGUAGGCGGAAUGCGUGGUGUAGCGGUGAAAUGCUUAGAUAUCACGAAGAACUCCGAUUGCGAAGGCAGCUUACUAAGCUGCAACUGACAUUGAUGCUCGAAAGUGUGGGUAUCAAACAGGAUUAGAUACCCCAGUAGUC